CCGGACUGUGAGGGGAGGCGGAGAGACGGGGCAAUUGACUACUGCUAACAAGUUAGCCUUGAUCGAGGAGUAAUCAAUUAUCUGCAGCUGCACUUCUCUUUCUUCGCUCUCCCUUCUUUCUCCUCUCCCUUCUUUCUCUCUGUUCUCUCUCUCUCCCCCUGUCCUCUCUCUCUCCCUCCCUCCCUCUCUCCACUCCACUCUGCUCCCCCCGUCCCUCUCCUUCUCUACCUCUCCCUCGCCCUCUCUUUCACUCUCUGUCUGUCCAAUGCAGGCGGCUCUAAGUUGGGAAGCUCAUUAAUUAGCGGGCCGGGGGUAGGAGGAGCCGGCUGGAAUUAGCCUGCCUAAUGCGCCUGUCAGUCCCGGCUCUACACCGUGCUCGGCCUGAGAUGUUUGUAAAUUACAUUAGAGGUGCCUUUAUUGCUCCCGAACCUGGGGUGACUAAAAAGCCACCGCCCCCACCCCAAACUGAGAGCAGUGCUCUGGGCACACCCGUCUCCCACCGGCCUGGCGGAGAUGGCAGCACCGGCCCGGAAGUCUCAUGCUGUGCAAGCCGGGGCUGUGAAGCUAGAGAAGGGUACCAGGAGCCCCAGCCGCGGAGUGGCGCGGUCGCCGCGCGGGCCAGGAUUGAUUCCCUGCCAUGUGAUGGGCUCAGACAUGGAGAGGAAGAAGAACGGAAGAUUGGGCUGGAGCGAGGAACAGAAAGGAGGGGGCAGAAAUUGCACCCACUGUGUCCCAAUAGUCCGGGGGUCUGUGAAGAGGGUAAAGAACCCGGUGUGUCUAGGCGGGGUUCACUAGUCCUGUUCCAAGCAGAAGUUGGCAUUAGUAUUGCGCUUUGAAAAACCAGAAGCGUUUGGGUCGGUGGUUAAGGGAUAAUCGUUUGGAAGCAAGGGAAAAGACAAGAUAAAGGUGUCCGCCCAGGAGACGUGGCCUCCUGCUGUUGCCUAGGCAGUGAAUUACUGGCCUCAGAGAGAAACCCCAGCCCCUGGUGCACCCCUGGAAGGUUAUUGGAAUGCCUUUGACUGAAGGGGUUGAGGAACAGCACCCUGCACUUGUGGAUGGGCCAAUCGGGCAGGUUCCCUUCUCUCUGUCACCUUCCAGCUUUCGACAUUCUUUUUUUUUUUUUUUUUCUAACUGCGUAACCCUGUUAAUGGUAGCCGCACUCUCCACCGAGGUUUCCCUGCCUUGGGGAGGGUGCUGGGCACAGAAGACUUCGAAGUCUGGGCUAUUAUGUCUGGUGGAAAGGCUGGGGCAAGGAAGCGGGAAUGGAGGCCAGGGUACCAUGGAGCGGGUAUUGGCGGCUAGGCGGGUGCGCGGAGGGGAGGGGGCGGGAAGAAAGGCCUGAGUCAGGCUUCUCAUAAUAAACGGCACGUGAAUAAUUCAGCAGCCUGGGGGAUCAUUGCAUUAGCACCACGGCCACCCCAUACCGCCCUCGCGAGUGCGCCGAGCAGCGGGCUCACCAAAGAGCGGAAGAGAGGGGUAGAAGACCCCUUGCCCUCAGGCAUCCUAAAUUAUGCCCAGGCCAAAUCCUACCAGCACCCUUGUCCUGGUUCACCUUGGACUCCUCUAGUCAGUGGCCACCUUCUGGACAGUGUUGCCCCAUCUAAGGCUCUAGAGUGCUACCAGACCCUGGGCAAGAAAAAACUGGCCCAGCUGGAGCCAGGGUAGGAAAAGAGGAUGGAGGCGUCUGCACUGAGAAAGCCUGGCAGCUGAAGGGCCCUGACGGAAUGCGGAUGUGGCUUUAAGCAAAGCGGAGGGACAGGAGUUCCUCCAGAGCUUGGGGCCCGGUUCCCUCCAGGCUGCUUUGGGCCAUUGGGAUUUCCCUUGAGAUUGAAAUGAGUUACUGGCAAAGCAACAGAGCCCUCCGUGGGCUCGAGUCCCCAGGUACCUUAAUCCACGGCACCCGCAGGUCCAAUGUCCACGGUGUCAGACAUCCCCCACUCCCCCGCCCCAAACCAGCCUAUCCUGUCCCUGGAAGGAAGAGCUAGGCUACUCGACUGGUUUCCUGGUUUCGUUCCCCAGAAUCUUCCUGCUCCUGGCCUUGCCCGCUUUCUUCACACCCUGGCCUCCUGACCUAGAAGGCUGCAACCACCGAGUCCCACAUCUACCUACGCCUUUAACUCCUUCAGAAAUCAGAAAGAUUUCUCCAUCUUCUGCCCGUGCUUCGUAUUUCGUUCACUUCGGUGAGAUCAACCCCUCCGGUUGGUUCUUCAGCUGCCUGGUCCUUUCUUCUCCUCUCUCCCUCUUAGUGAAUCUUGAGCCAGGACCCUCACUCUGUUUCCAUCGGUUUCUUCAAAGUGUGCGGCACAGCCAGAUCCUGGGGCAGGAGGCCGCUCACUCAGCCUCAGACCUGCUCUCCCGCCACCCCUAAUACAACACACUUCCCUCAGCAGACCUUUUCCAUUGAUUAUCGAUUUGAAUUUAUUCUGAGGAGCUUGGUCCGCAGACUUGGUUCCUGGGAAAGCCCGACUUUCUGUGCAACUCCUGCAGACUUAUAGCUACAGAUGAAUCUUAGCUGGCUGUGUGGCCUUAGGUAGGUCUUAACCUCUCUGAACCUUGAUAUCCACCCUUGUGGGGAAGAUUUAGGAAGGUUUAAGAAGACUAAGCAUUUUCUUUUGUUUAGGGAAGUGGACUCCCUUUGCUGAAACCUGAGCAGGAAGCAAGGAUGGAGAGACGGCCAUUUGUUUCCAUGCGCAUUUUGGAAACAAUUGGCAGUUGUUUCUCCUGUUUGGUUUGUACAGUAGAUUGGUGUGCCAGGCAUGUGCAUCUCCUCUAGAACUUGCCACAUCUCCAUUUGCUGAAAAGAACUCUGAGAUAAGCCCUGGUCUGCCUCACAAACAUUAUUCGAAUCCAGAGCCCAGGCUGAGCAUUUCUUGCAUUUAAGGCACAUCGUAUCUCUUCAAUGAGAAGGGAGUCUGACAGGCUAAGUGGAAGAACAUUGCUUGUUUCUGACUAAGGACAUUUUGAAAGCUUCAUUUUAUUUUCUUUCUUUCUGUUUUAUUUUAUUUUUUUUGUUAUGUUUUUUUUUUUUUCUGAUACAGAGUUUCUCUCUGUGUAGCCCUGGAUGUCCUGGAAUUCACUUUGUAGACCAGACUGGAUCAAACUCACAAAGAUCCGCUUGCCCCUCUGCCUCUUGUGCUGAGAUUAAAGGUGCACAUCACCAUGCUCGGCUCAAAAGCCCCAUUCGUAAGUAAACGAUGUUGGUGGCAUCCAAAGAAGGAUGAAAGUAAAACUCAUGGAGGGACUUUCAGCAAGUUGUAGAAAAAAACCACAGGGGUUGGGAGUAGGGUGGGGAAGCAGUGUCUUCCCAGCCAAGAAAGAAACCAUCAUCAAACCAUCAUCGUCACCUGUCUGUCUUCCUGAGGGGCCUAUAUCCCUGCAGACCAAUAGGAAGCAGGAACUCAGAGGACACCUCCACUCUCUUCCUCUUCACGGAGGCUUCUCAGAGAUCAAGUGAAUCCUGAAACUGCAGAGGUGGGCUUGGAUGUAAGGAAGCAGAGUGGAAGUUGGAGCCUGAGACCCUCUGGGCAGGCAGCGUGGGCUAGAACGCGGCUCUCCGGGACGAGGUCGUGGCCCUGUGGUAGCCUAUACAGACCAAGCGUCCUGCGCCACAAGUCCCAUUACAUUGUAUUUAUGUUUCGCUUUAUUGUUUUUCCCCCUCUCUUAUUAUGGUCUCACUCUGGGGGAGGCAAAGGAUAUAAUAUAUUCAUCUUUAUUAUACCAAAUCUGUGUGAAGCAUUUAAUAAAACGCUGUUUCUCCACAGCCAGG